AAAGCACUCUUCGGCCCCAAAUCUGCCUCCAGUGAAGUGGGAAAAGUGAAGACUCACAGUGAGUUGAAGGAUGGAAAAAAGGAGUUUCACUGGCCAGAGCUUUGAAGUAAUCCUUGCUCACAUAGAAGGCAAUAGCAUGAGUUUAGGCAGUAGGUGGAAAAAUAUCUGACUGGAUCCUACCAGAAUGCCCUGGCAAUUCAGCAGAUUUGCUGGAAGGACAAUUUGGGAAGUCUUGGGGAAAUAUGCUUCUGCAAGUCCUGCAUUGUCUCUAUGGGGUUUCAAAAAGGAGUUUCCUCAUAUGCCUAACCAGCUUCAAGAUGGUAUUGUUGCCUUUAUCAUAAACUUUGAGGGUCAGCAAGGCAUUAUUAUCCAGAUUGAGCUCUCCUUGCAGGAACACCAGAUACAAGCCAUCACAUUCAACCUGGAUUCUGCCAUUUGUGACAUUCCAGUCGCCACUCCAAGCAGCAGUUCAGCAUGUUAUAACCCGUGUUUGACUAUGAGGUUAACCCUGGCCAUCCUGUGUCUCACCUCUACCUGAGUGAUGAGUGACAGUAAGUAGAGGCCUCAGCUCCAAGGCCACUCUUAUACGGAUGCUUGCAAUGCAAUAAUAACAUGAGCCAGAGCUGCCAUUUGUCUCUGAUUAGAAAUGUCUUAAAAAUUAUUUUAUUGAAUACUUCCCUGUAAAUUUCAUUUUAUCAAUGAAAGCUCAGUACUGAAAUUAACAAGAACCCACUGGCUUGCAGAAACAAUGUUUACAAAAAAAAGAAAAAAAAAAACAGAAGAAAUAUCCUUUUCAAUAACAGUUUUGGUAAAAAGCUGGUUUUGAGUUUUACUUUUUUUCUGUGGGGAAAACAAUCAAAUUGAACAUGGUCCCCUGACCAUUUCUCUUUUCCCUAAGGAACUGAUUUUUUCCUCAAAAGUACUUCUCAAUGGAAAUGCAUUCAACCACUUCUAACAUUCAGCGUAACUAUGAAAGUAUAACAGAAAUCAUGAACAGCAAAGCAACCACGAGUCUAAAGCCUUCGGCUGUCCUCUCUCAGCACAGGUUGCAAAUAUGGUUUACAAAUGUAGACAGAAAUCAAUCCCCAAAGUAAGCCUCACUUUACAGAUAAAGGAAGUUCCUGAGACUCCCAGCAUUUCUUCUAGGAGAGAUAAAGGCUAAAGAGUGAAAUGGUAAAACCAGGAGUGAUGCUUGUGCAGUGUGUAGUACUCCUCCAGCAGGUGUAAAGCCAAGUGUUUCUUUGCAGGAUCAGGGCCUAAACAAGUCACUAAUUUAAAACAUGACAGAAAUGAUAGAAGGCAACAGGAAGGAAAGGAAAGAGAGGGAGAACAACAGGCCCGUGCUAUCCAUGUUCUUGUAAACGCAUACUGACCCUCAGAUUUCCUGGCGAUGGUCCACUGGCCUGUAGCCUUUGUGGUGGUCUAAAAAACAACAAAACAAAACCCCAAGUUACUCAUCAUCUCUAUGGAUGCCGGCAAGGGACUCCAGCUGCAAGACUGACAGCUCCCAGGAUUUUACCAUGAACCUCACUGGCGUC
rnacentral:lncRNA from 1 species